rnacentral:snRNA from 1 species
AGCGCUUCUCGGCCUUUUGGCUAAGAUCAAGUGUAGAUUUUGGACUUUCCCUGUCAGCCAUCACAAUCUUGCAAGCCAAUUUUUUGCAAUAUGUCUAUAUUUUUAAGAUUUGGGGUAGUUUGUCAUGCAUCAAUACUGCCCCCUUUUA